AUUGAACGCUGGCGGCAUGCUUUACACAUGCAAGUCGAACGGUAACAGGCCGCUAGGUGCUGACGAGUGGCGGACGGGUGAGUAAUUAACCCGAACGUGCCCAGUCGUGGGGGAUAAGUACUCGAAAGAGUAGCUAAGACCGCAUCCGAUCUAUGGAUGAACGCGGGGGUCGGUAAUGCAUCGCGCGAUCGGUUCGGCCGGUGUCAGAUUAGGUAGUUGGUGGGGUAAGGGCUUACGCAGCCAACGAUCUGGAGAUGGUCUGAGAGGACGAGCGGCCACACUGGGACGGAGACACGGACCAGAGUCCUACGGGAGGGAGCAGUGGGGAAUGGUGGACAAUGGGCGCAAGUCUGAUACAGCAAGGCGGCGUGCAGGAAGAAGGCGUUCGGGUUGUAAACUGCUUUUGUGCGGAACGAACCGCCUCCGGCUAAUACGAGGGGUGAAUGACGGUACCGUAUGAAUAAGCACCGGCUAACUACGUG
rnacentral:rRNA from 1 species